rnacentral:piRNA from 1 species
UCGCAUUCAUUGGGAGAAUGAGCAGG